UUAUGGCCACAUCACGUUGAAACAGCAGUUCUCGUACGAUCACCGAAAUUAAGCAACCUCGAGCCUGAUCAGUAUCUAGAUGGAUGACCGCUUAGAAAUAACAGGUAAUGUAA